UCUCUUUCCUAAGUCUUAAUGGUCUCAGUUCCAUUUACCAGUGUGCUAUAUUAACUCUGUCAACUUUUCUGUGUUUACUUUUUCUAGCCGUUGCAUGGUUCUCUAAAUAACAGGCACGCGCGUAGAUCACAAUUGUUUGAUCCAUCAAGUGUAGACAUCUGUGGACCUCCUACCAAGAUAGCUGCCUGAUCUCCUUCCCACCUUUCUUCUCCCAUCCUAUCAGCAUAACUAUUAAAUCCAAGAAGGCAGAGGAGGAGAAGAAGAAAAGACAAAACCAUGGAUAUCUCAGAUGUUAAAAGAUCUUUCCAGUGGGCCGGUGUUGUAAAGGCCACAUGCGUCCACUCAUCUUCGCAGAGAGGAUGAAUUGGAACCAGCUCCAGAGGUGACGGAUGGAAGAACGAAACUCGGGACCAGUACCCCGAUCCCCCUUGUACCGUUUGUUGUGAGACACAGAAGCCUUGUGAAAGCACAUAAUCUCUAAUGAGAAAAGAAAACCCCAACCCAGGACCAAGGUAGGAAGAUCACAUUACAACACAGAAGCAGAAAC
rnacentral:lncRNA from 1 species